UGGCCUACGGGAGGCAGCAGUGGGGAAUAUUGCACAAUGGGGGAAACCCUGAUGCAGCGACGCCGCGUGAAGGAUGAAGUAUUUCGGUAUGUAAACUUCUAUCAGCAGGGAAGAAAAUGACGGUACCUGAGUAAGAAGCCCCGGCUAACUACGUGCCAGCAGCCGCGGUAAUACGUAGGGGGCAAGCGUUAUCCGGAUUUACUGGGUGUAAAGGGAGCGUAGACGGCAAUACAAGUCGGAAGUGAAAUACCCGGGCUCAACCUGGGAACUGCUUUGGAAACUGUAUGGCUGGAGUGCUGGAGAGG
rnacentral:rRNA from 1 species